UGGCCUUUGAGGCAUUUAUGGGUCAAAAGCAUCCGCCUUCAUGGAUGUUGCUGGUUCAACAGGAUGGCCAAGGACUACUAGACGACAGUGAGGUCAGUCGCAUGAGGGUUUUCUGCCUUCAUGGAUGUUGCUGGUUCAACAGGAUGGCCAAGGACUACUAGACGACAGUGAGGUCAGUCGCAUGAGGGUUUUCUGCCUUCAUGGAUGUUGCUGGUUCAACAGGAUGGCCAAGGACUACUAGACGACAGUGAGGUCAGUCGCAUGAGGGUUUUCUGCCUUCAUGGAUGUUGCUGGUUCAACAGGAUGGCCAAGGACUACUAGACGACAGUGAGGUCAGUCGCAUGAGGGUUUUCUGCCUUCAUGGAUGUUGCUGGUUCAACAGGAUGGCCAAGGACUACUAGACGACAGUGAGGUCAGUCGCAUGAGGGUUUUCUGCCUUCAUGGAUGUUGCUGGUUCAACAGGAUGGCCAAGGACUACUAGACGACAGUGAGGUCAGUCGCAUGAGGGUUUUCUGCCUUCAUGGAUGUUGCUGGUUCAACAGGAUGGCCAAGGACUACUAGACGACAGUGAGGUCAGUCGCAUGAGGGUUUUCUGCCUUCAUGGAUGUUGCUGGUUCAACAGGAUGGCCAAGGACUACUAGACGACAGUGAGGUCAGUCGCAUGAGGGUUUUCUGCCUUCAUGGAUGUUGCUGGUUCAACAGGAUGGCCAAGGACUACUAGACGACAGUGAGGUCAGUCGCAUGAGGGUUUUCUGCCUUCAUGGAUGUUGCUGGUUCAACAGGAUGGCCAAGGACUACUAGACGACAGUGAGGUCAGUCGCAUGAGGGUUUUCUGCCUUCAUGGAUGUUGCUGGUUCAACAGGAUGGCCAAGGACUACUAGACGACAGUGAGGUCAGUCGCAUGAGGGUUUUCUGCCUUCAUGGAUGUUGCUGGUUCAACAGGAUGGCCAAGGACUACUAGACGACAGUGAGGUCAGUCGCAUGAGGGUUUUCUGCCUUCAUGGAUGUUGCUGGUUCAACAGGAUGGCCAAGGACUACUAGACGACAGUGAGGUCAGUCGCAUGAGGGUUUUCUGCCUUCAUGGAUGUUGCUGGUUCAACAGGAUGGCCAAGGACUACUAGACGACAGUGAGGUCAGUCGCAUGAGGGUUUUCUGCCUUCAUGGAUGUUGCUGGUUCAACAGGAUGGCCAAGGACUACUAGACUACAGUGAGGUCAGUCGCAUGAGGGCUUUCUGCC